rnacentral:rRNA from 1 species
GAUGAACGCUGGCUACAGGCUUAACACAUGCAAGUCGAGGGGAAACGAUAGAGAAAGCUUGCUUUUUCUAGGCGUCGACCGGCGCACGGGUGAGUAACGCGUAUCCAACCUGCCCAUCACUUGGGGAUAACCUUGCGGAAGUAAGACUAAUACCCAAUGACGUCUCUAGAAGACAUCUGAAAGGGAUUAAAGAUUUAUCGGUGAUGGAUGGGGAUGCGUCUGAUUAGCUUGUUGGCGGGGUAACGGCCCACCAAGGCGACGAUCAGUAGGGGUUCUGAGAGGAAGGUCCCCCACAUUGGAACUGAGACACGGUCCAAACUCCUACGGGAGGCAGCAGUGAGGAAUAUUGGUCAAUGGACGAGAGUCUGAACCAGCCAAGUAGCGUGCAGGAUGACGGCCCUAUGGGUUGUAAACUGCUUUUAUAAGGGAAUAAAGUGAGAGUCGUGACUCUUUUUGCAUGUACCUUAUGAAUAAGACCGGCUAAUUCCGUGCCAGCCGCCGCGGUAA